rnacentral:rRNA from 1 species
UACGGAGGAUGCAAGCGUUAUCCGGAAUGAUUGGGCGUAAAGCGUCCGCAGGUGGCUAUGUAAGUCUGCUGUUAAAGAGUGAGGCUCAACCUCAUAAGAGCAGUGGAAACUACAUGGCUAGAGUGCGUUCGGGGCAGAGGGAAUUCCUGGUGUAGCGGUGAAAUGCGUAGAGAUCAGGAAGAACACCGGUGGCGAAAGCGCUCUGCUAGGCCGCAACUGAUACUCAUGGACGAAAGCUAGGGGAGCGAAUGGG